UACGGAGGAUGCGAGCGUUAUCCGGAUUUAUUGGGUUUAAAGGGUGCGUAGGCGGACCGAUAAGUCAGUGGUGAAAACCUGCAGCUUAACUGUAGAACUGCCAUUGAUACUGUCGGACUUGAGUAUGGUCAAGGUAGGCGGAAUGUGUAAUGUAGCGGUGAAAUGCUUAGAUAUUACACAGAACACCGAUUGCGAAGGCAGCUUGCUGGACCAUUACUGACGCUGAUGCACGAAAGCGUGGGGAGCAAACAGG
rnacentral:rRNA from 1 species